GAGGGCGGAACACUGUAAUAAUCAAGGAUGAAAGUUGAAGAUGACGAUAAUUCCGACUGUUCUUCAAACUUUGAUUCGAUCCAUCCAGUUAUCAACGACGGAAAAAUUAAAUCAUGACCUCAAACUCCCCAAUUGACCCAAAUAUCACUGACGCAUCUAAUAUAAAGUGCAUGUUCUAUAUUGAGGUUGCGAUGAAAUUGUCACAUAUAGACUGAAACUGAAAACACAGGCUUCAAUUUCUGAAUGGAAAUCACGGCUUAAUGAGAAGUGGGGAUCGACCUACGUUGAAGAAGGUGUUGCGGUGAUCAGAACACGAAUGAAGAUGACGUCUACGAAUGGUAGCGAAGAUGAGAA
rnacentral:lncRNA from 1 species